rnacentral:rRNA from 1 species
UACGGGAGGCAGCAGUGGGGAAUAUUGCACAAUGGGCGAAAGCCUGAUGCAGCUAUGCCGCGUGUAUGAAGAAGGCCUUAGGGUUGUAAAGUACUUUCAUCGGGGAGGAAAAAACAAAACUAAUAAUUUUAUUUCUUGACGUUACCCGAAAAAGAAGCACCGGCUAACUCCGUGCCAGCAGCCGCGGUAAUACGGAGGGUGCUAGCGUUAAUCAGAAUUACUGGGCGUAAAGAGCACGUAGGUGGUUUUUUUAAGUCAGAUGUGAAAUCCCUGGGCUUAACCUAGGAACUGCAUUUUGAAACUGAAAUACUAGAGUAUCGUAGAGGGAGGUAGAAUUCUAGGUGUAGCGGUGAAAUGCGUAGAUAUCUGGAGGAUACCUGUGGCGAAAGCGGCCUCCUAAACGAAUACUGACACUGAGUGCGAAAGCGUGGGGAGCAAACAGGGAUUAGAUACC